rnacentral:rRNA from 1 species
CGAAAGCCUGACGGAGCAACGCCGCGUGUGGGAAGAAGGCCUUUGGGCUGUCAACCACUUUUCUCAGGGAAGAAGAUCUGACGGUACCUGAGGAAUCAGCCUCGGCUAACUCCGUGCCAGCAGCCGCGGUAAUACGGAGGAGGCAAGCGUUAUCCGGAAUCAUUGGGCGUAAAGCGUUCGUAGGCGGCUGUUCAAGUCUGCUGUUAAAGGCUGGAGCUCAACUCCGGUAGAGCAGUGGAAACUGGUGCGCUAGAGGGCGACAGGGGUAGAGGGAAUUCCCAGUGUAGCGGUGAAAUGCGUAGAGAUUGGGAAGAACACCGGUGGCGAAAGCGCUCUACUGGGUCGCACCUGACCCUCAGGGACGAAAGCUAAGGUAGCG